AUUAUAUGAUGAGAACAAUUUUAAAUGUAUCCUUACAAAUGCUCCCAUGCUUUUGAAAUGGUUUCUGUCUUCUGCUGUUGGAAAUUGGUAAUCUUUCCUCUUAAGGC
rfam:Sorghum bicolor cultivar BTx623 chromosome 1, whole genome shotgun sequence.